GUAACGCGUAGUCAAUCUACCCUAUGGACGAGGAUAACCUCGGGAAACUGAGAAUAAUACUCGAUAGAACAUUAUGCCUGGAAUGGUUUAUGUUCCAAAUGAUUUAUCGCCGUAGGAUGGGACUGCGGCCUAUCAGUUUGUUGGUGAGGUAAUGGCCCACCAAGACUAUUACAGGUACGGGCUCUGAGGGGAGUGGCCCGGAGAUGGGUACUGAGACACGGACCCAGGCCCUAUGGGGCGCAGCAGGCGAGAAAACUUUGCAAUGUGCGAAAGCACGACAAGGUUAAUCCGAGUGGUUUCUGCUAAAGAGACCUUUUGUCGGUCCUAGAAACACCGAUGAAUAAGGGGUGGGCAAGUUCUGGUGU
rnacentral:rRNA from 1 species